rnacentral:rRNA from 1 species
GCGGAGGAAAAGAAAAUAACAAUGAUUCCCCUAGUAACUGCGAGUGAAGAGGGACAAGCUCAAAUUUUAAAUCUAUCGGGUUUUACCUGAUCGAGUUGUAAUUUGAAGAAGCGUUUUCUGCGUAUUUGGUCAGCCUAAGUCCUAUUGAAUGAGGCAUCAUGGAGGGUGAUAAUCCCGUCCGGUUGAUCAUUUGCGUUUUACGAUACGCUUUCUAAGAGUCAAGUUGUUUGGGAUUGCAGCUUAAAAUGGGAGGUAAAUUUCUCCUAAGGCUAAAUAAUGGCGAGAGACCGAUAGCGAACAAGUACCGUGAGGGAAAGAUGAAAAGAACUUUGAAAAGAGAGUUAAACAGUACGUGAAAUUGUUGAAAGGGAAACGAUUGAAGCCAGUCGUACCUUCGGGUAAUCAGCCUUUCGGGUGCGAUUAUGUGGAGUGUGAGGAGCUUAAACACCUUCAUGUUUUGCAUAUUCGUACUCUUGGGUGUACUUGCCCGUGUGGUUGGUUAACAUCAAUUUUGGUGGUCAUAAAAUGACUGGAGGAAUGUAGCUUCGAUCUCGUAUUGAAGUGUUAUAGCCUUCGGUAGAUGUGAUGAUCGAGAUUGAGGAUUGCAACGGAUACCCUUCGGGGCUACCUGUCUGAUCUCUGAUCGUUGCUUUGGUGCCGAAAGCUUGCUUACGGUUAUCAAAGUCGAUGGUCAAUAGGUUAGAACGGGUUAAAUUCGUUAAGGAUGUUGACGUAAUGGCUUUAAACGACCCGUCUUG